GACAACUUCCAUAUCACGUUAAAACUCUUAAAAACUUAGUUCUCACUCCGAUCACUGAAGUUGAGCACGGUUAGUACUUGGAUGGGACCGCUUGGGAACACCGUGUGAUGUUGUCC
rnacentral:rRNA from 1 species